GACGAACGCUGGCGGCGUGCUUAACACAUGCAAGUCACGGGGGUCUCGGGGCAAACUCGGGGAUAACCCGGCGAAACGGGUGCGUAACACGUAAGCGACCUGCCGAUUCGCGGGGGAUAGCCGGCCCAACGGGCCGGGUAAUACCGCAUACGCUUGCUGGGUUUCAUGGCCGGGCAAGGAAACCUCCGGGGAAACCGGGUGGGGCGGAUCGAGGGGCUUGCGGCCUAUCAGCUAAGUUGGUGAGGUAACGGCUCACCAAGGCGGUGACGGGUAGCCUGGUCUGAGAGGAUGGCCAGCCACAUU
rnacentral:rRNA from 1 species